UAUUCGAACCCCAUUCGUCACUUGGUACAGUUAAAAAAGGAAAAUGGUUUCGACCAACCCAUUUUUUGUAUUUGCGGCUACAUACCGUAGAGAGCAUCCAGACCUAAAAGUACAACGCGUUAUUGCAUCAAGAGCUGGGGAUGCAUGGAACGCUUUACCGACAUCAGAGAAAAAUCGCUACCGCAAAAUGGCGAGCGAUGAACGAAAUCGGCGUCGGAGAGAUGCUGAUAAAAAACGCCAGGAAAGCCAGGAAGCCAGGUGCCAACGAUGCCGUUAUACCAAAUUAGUAUUUUAUGCACUGCUUUUGUUUUUAUUGGUUUGGAUAUCAUUAUCCUAUGUCUUUUAACAAAAAUUAAUCAGUUUUUUGUCAGAACAUUCCAAAUAAAGGUUCAAAUGUAGAAUGCCAUA